CUGGGAGGCGGCGGUCCAUCCUCCUCAGGUCAACCCCAUCUUAAGGACAGGUGGGGGACGGAACGCCUGGAAGGCCCGAUACUGUCUUCAUGCCUUGUGCUGUCAGCCUAGGUCCUUCACAUUUCCUAGUCUGGUCCAGUGACUUGCUGAUGAAAAUCUGCUGAUGAGAAUGAAUUAUACGAAUAUAGAGGGGUGCCUCUAAGUUGACGAAGCUGGUCAUGAACUUGGAAUCUUCCUGCUUCAGCCUCCUGAGUCUCUGGGAUUACCUGUGUGUGCCACCAAACCCAUCUUUUGGCCUGGCAAUCCUCCUGGCUUAUGUUCCUGCACUGCUGUGGUUGGCUGUAACAGAGUAGAAGAUGCCCAGGGAUGAUGCAAAAAGAAAGCCUUCACCAGAUAGGGCCCUGGAUGUUGGAUAUCUCAGCUUCCAGGAUGACCACAAAGAUUAAAUGACUUUCCCAACAUCCUACAACUAAUAAAAGCUGAUGUUUGGGGCUGGAGUUGUGGCUUAGAGACAAGUCAAUGGAAGCUACUAAGUCAAUGGAAAAUACUAAGAAGCUUACCCUUGGACAUAGUUUGAAAUAAAGGAGCUGCAAUUCAAACUUGGGAAAUCUUCCUCAAGGGCCUACCUGUAAACCAUUUAACUAUAGAGUAAGUAUAGUGGCUUUGUAAUGUACCAACUUGGACAGGACAAAUUAUACUGCCCAGAAUUCCCUUUUAUGUGCAUUUUCAGGUAGCAUGGGCAUCAAAAGAGAUUCUUGUGGAAUAUUUGCACGGUGGAG